UCCUGGUUAGCUCAGUUGGGAGAGCGUUCUUCUGGAAUGGAGAGGUCCCUGGUUCGAUGGCAGGACCAGGUG
rnacentral:tRNA from 1 species